AAUUUACAACACAGUCCGCCAGACUAUUAUAAGUAAAAACUUAAAACUCAAAGGACUUGACGGUGUUCCACAUACAACCUAGAGGAGCCUGUCCUUUAAUCGACGACCCACGAAAAACCCGACCACCUUUUGCCAAACAACCUAUAUACCGCCGUCGCAAGCCCACCUCUUGAGAGGAAAAAAGUGGACGAAAUAGCCCACACAAAUACGUCAGGUCAAGGUGUAGUUUAUAGGGUGGGUAGAGAUGGGCUACAUUUCUUUUUAAAAGGAAAUACGAAAGAUAUAAUGAAAUACUCAUCAGAAGGAGGAUUUAGUAGUAAAACAAGAUAAGAGAGCUUGCUUGAACACACUGCCCUGGAACGCGUACACACCGCCCGUCACCCWCA
rnacentral:rRNA from 1 species